UACGGAGGUGGCAAGCGUUACUCGGAAUUACUGGGUGUAUAGGGUACGUAGGCGGUUCGGUAAGCCCUACCUAAAAUUCUCUGGCUCAACCGGAGACUGUGGUAGGGGACUGCCGGGCUGGAGGAUGGGAGAGGUGAGCGGAAUUCCCGGUGUAAGGGUGAAAUCUGUAAAGAUCGGGAGGAACACCAGUGGCGCAAGCGGCUCACUGGCCCAUUUCUGACGCUGAGGUACGAAAGCUAGGGGAGCAAACAGG
rnacentral:rRNA from 1 species